UACGAAGGGGGCUAGCGUUGUUCGGAAUUACUGGGCGUAAAGCGCGCGCAGGCGGUCUUCCAAGUCAGUGGUGAAAGCCUGGAGCUCAACUCCAGAACUGCCAUUGAAACUGUUAGACUUGAGUACGAGAGAGGUGAGUGGAAUUCCCAGUGUAGAGGUGAAAUUCGUAGAUAUUGGGAAGAACACCAGUGGCGAAGGCGGCAUCCUGGCCCUGACCUGACGCUCAGGGGCGAAAGCGUGGGGAGCAAACCGG
rnacentral:rRNA from 1 species